AGCUCUCUGCAGCAUGGAGUAUGCUGGGACUUGUCUCCUGCUGGGCUUCAGCGCCUGCCUUCUGUGUACACCUCUCAAGACCCAGUCACCUACCUGUGCCAGCAGAAGCCUCCUGCCUCGGUGGCCUCUGGACAUGCACUGCCGCCAUUCCUCACCGAGAGGGCAUCUCACUGCCUCUUCACCACAGCAGCCUCCUCCCCACGUCUGCCCAGUCCUCACCAGAGAGACUCUGACCAACAGCCUCUAAAGCCUAUCUUCACGAGCCUUCUGGAAAACUACCCAGUCAGUCCUCAUUUGCCCUGAGUCCCGGGAAA
rnacentral:lncRNA from 1 species